UUUGGUGGUAAUGGCGGAGAGGUCACACCUGUUCCCAUGCCGAACACAGAAGUUAAGCUCUCCAGCGCCGAUGGUAGUUGGGGCAUUGCCCCUGCGAGAGUAGGACACCGCCAAGC
rnacentral:rRNA from 1 species